rnacentral:lncRNA from 1 species
CCAGAACUCUCUUCUUUUGUGGGCACAUACCACCUUAGGCUGCCAGGUUACAGACUUUAGUGUCAUGAAUUGUAGCCACAUCACUGCAGAGUUUCCAGCAAUGGUUGCCAUGGCACCAGGUGGCCUAAUCAUCAGUGUUUCAACAGUAUAGAGGCAGCAACACCUACUCAAAAAACUAGAGGACUAUUGGUGGACAUAGCAGGUUUCCUGGAUUUCUGUCAAUAGAAGAUUACCAAAUUAGGCCCAGAUCCCUUGGCAGAGGGAACAUUGCUGGAGUUCCUGGAGAAAUUCCAGGAAGGAAAGCAUGAGAGAGAGAAGAACCAUAUUAUUUGUGAUAAACGGAAUGAGACUCAGUGACAUUUAAUGUGACUAUUAAAAAUAAUGAGUUGCUGUUCUAUGCCCUGAGCUGAAGUUUUCACUGGCUUACCCAUAGCCCCUGGUGGACCCAGAGUUCACAUACAGGCAAUGCCUGUGCAUAGCAAAGCUUCAGUCAUCUCUCUCUGGAAAGAGCUGGAGAACGUUCAGACCAUGCACAGGGCAGCCCAGAGGGCCAAGAGCUCACACUCAGGAAUUGAGCAAAGAAUGGUCAACACCUCAUGCAGCAGCCAGUGCGUGACACUGAGAGAAGGGGAAAAAGGCAGCCCUCUGCAGGAAUGCUUGCACUUUCAGAGUUGCCUCUCAGCCCGUGGGAAUGCUCCACAUCAAGGCAGCUAAGCAAUCGUUGGGGUGUUUACACCAAGCCGAGCAGCCCAGGUGGGCAGACAGUGAAAGCAGAUCAGGGAUGCAUGGGAUUGUGCAUGCAAGAGAAAGCACCUCCCACCUGGCACACCAGCUCAGCCAGUCAGCCAGAACAGGGGACCCCUGCCAGAGCACCUGUACAUGCGUAUGUAAAAUGGCAGUGGCCAGUGGGCAAACACAGAUGGGCCUUGUUGGCACAGCUUUCAACGGACAGGCACAUCGGCCAGAGGUUGCAGAGGGCUCAGAAAACACAGCUUCUGCUUCCCGCAGUGGUGGCAGGGGGAAUGUACAACCUGAUGCUACAACUAUGCGAUUGCAAAAGCCCACCCCAUCAAAUAGCAUGAAGAGGUAUAUUAGCACUCCAGACGAGAGGGAAAAUGACAAGUAUCCAGAAAUCAACCCUGAAGUCACAGAAUUUAAAAUCUAAAUGACAGAGAAUUCAAAAUAGUUGUCAUAAAGAAACUCAACAAGUUAGAAGAAAAACUCAGAAAGACAGUUUAAUGAUCUCAGGAAUAAAAAUUAAUGAACAGAGGGAAUUAUUCACAAAAGAGAUUGAAACUAUUAAAAAAAAAAACCAUCAGAAAUGUUGGAGAUGAAAAACACAAUGAAUGAGAUAAAGAAAAUCUGGAGUCCUUAAAUAACAGAGCUGAUAUUAUGGAGGACAGAAUCAAUAAUUUAAAGGACAGAAAUAUAGAAAUGUUGCAGAUGGAGGAGGAGAGAGAACUAAGAAUAAAAAGAAAUGAAGAAAUUCUCCAAGAAAUAUCCAACCCAAUUAUAGGUAUUCCAGAUGGAGCAGUGAGAGAGAAAG